GCUCAGAUUGAACGCUGGCGGCAGGCCUAACACAUGCAAGUCGAGCGGUAGCACAAGAGAGCUUGCUCUCUGGGUGACGAGCGGCGGACGGGUGAGUAAUGUCUGGGAAACUGCCUGAUGGCGGGGGAUAACUAGUGGAAACGGUAGCUAAUACCGCAUAACGUCGCAAGACCAAAGUGGGGGACCUUCGGGCCUCACGCCAUCAGAUGUGCCCAGGUGGGAUUAGCUGGUAGGUGGGGUAACGGCUCACCUAGGCGACGAUCCCUAGCUGGUCUGAGAGGAUGACCAGCCACACUGGAACUGAGACACGGUCCAGACUCCUACGGGAGGCAGCAGUGGGGAAUAUUGCACAAUGGGCGCAAGCCUGAUGCAGCCAUGCCGCGUGUGUGAAGAAGGCCUUCGGGUUGUAAAGCACUUUCAGCGAGGAGGAAGGGUAAUGUGUUAAUAAGACAUUGCAAAA
rnacentral:rRNA from 1 species